rnacentral:sRNA from 1 species
UUAUUCUAAAUAGCUAGCAAACCAUGUGAAUGAAGUAGGAAAACUUGCAUGGAUGAUAAGCUUAAAAGCAGAGUAUGGUUAUAUGACGGAUACGUUAUAUAACUAUAUCGAUUUAUUAGGUAACUAUUAAGUCAGAAACUAGAAACUAGCCGUCUGUGCUUAUCAGUGCAUGCUAUACAUCUUUAUAAGUCAUAUUUCUUGUCGUGGAGGUAAUAGACGCCGGUCAGGAAUAAUCCUUAUAUCGUAGCCUGGUAAACUACAUAAAUAUAAGGAACGCUAACAGCUCCAUCAGAUUUGAAGACUUUGAAAAAGGUCUAUAAGGCAAGUUUAUAGUGCGAGUAGCCAAAUCAUCUAGAAUCCUAAGGGAAUAUGCAUGUUUUAUGUCAGCACGAAUGUAGCAUUCUGAAUGCUUGGUAAAAGUUAUAGGUAUUAAUCCUAUCAUGGCUUGUUAACCUAAGAAGUAUAUAGGUAGCUCCUAUAUGCUCAGACUUAGGUUCCAUGUGGACGAAUAAUAAUUUUGUAUAGAAAGAGACAUUAUUUGUAGGGAGAAAUUCCUGCUAGUUAUUAUGAAU